rnacentral:misc_RNA from 1 species
GUCUGCUAUAAUGUUUUUAACUUCUUCAAUAGAGAAGUUAUCUCCUUUGUGUUGUUUAUAAUAACAAAACAAAUUUUGCUCGAAGUACUAUGACUGUACCUAGUCCUUACUGGAGACUUUUA